rnacentral:rRNA from 1 species
GGUUAAGCGACUAAGCGUACACGGUGGAUGCCCUGGCAGUCAGAGGCGAUGAAGGACGUGCUAAUCUGCGAUAAGCGUCGGUAAGGUGAUAUGAACCGUUAUAACCGGCGAUUUCCGAAUGGGGAAACCCAGUGUGUUUCGACACACUAUCAUUAACUGAAUCCAUAGGUUAAUGAGGCGAACCGGGGGAACUGAAACAUCUAAGUACCCCGAGGAAAAGAAAUCAACCGAGAUUCCCCCAGUAGCGGCGAGCGAACGGGGAGCAGCCCAGAGCCUGAAUCAGUGUGUGUGUUAGUGGAAGCGUCUGGAAAGGCGCGCGAUACAGGGUGACAGCCCCGUACACAAAAAUGCACAUGCUGUGAGCUCGAUGAGUAGGGCGGGACACGUGGUAUCCUGUCUGAAUAUGGGGGGACCAUCCUCCAAGGCUAAAUACUCCUGACUGACCGAUAGUGAACCAGUACCGUGAGGGAAAGGCGAAAAGAACCCCGGCGAGGGGAGUGAAAAAGAACCUGAAACCGUGUACGUACAAGCAGUGGGAGCACGCUUAGGCGUGUGACUGCGUACCUUUUGUAUAAUGGGUCAGCGACUUAUAUUCUGUAGCAAGGUUAACCGAAUAGGGGAGCCGAAGGGAAACCGAGUCUUAACUGGGCGUUAAGUUGCAGGGUAUAGACCCGAAACCCGGUGAUCUAGCCAUGGGCAGGUUGAAGGUUGGGUAACACUAACUGGAGGACCGAACCGACUAAUGUUGAAAAAUUAGCGGAUGACUUGUGGCUGGGGGUGAAAGGCCAAUCAAACCGGGAGAUAGCUGGUUCUCCCCGAAAGCUAUUUAGGUAGCGCCUCGUGAACUCAUCUCCGGGGGUAGAGCACUGUUUCGGCAAGGGGGUCAUCCCGACUUACCAACCCGAUGCAAACUGCGAAUACCGGAGAAUGUUAUCACGGGAGACACACGGCGGGUGCUAACGUCCGUCGUGAAGAGGGAAACAACCCAGACCGCCAGCUAAGGUCCCAAAGUCAUGGUUAAGUGGGAAACGAUGUGGGAAGGCCCAGACAGCCAGGAUGUUGGCUUAGAAGCAGCCAUCAUUUAAAGAAAGCGUAAUAGCUCACUGGUCGAGUCGGCCUGCGCGGAAGAUGUAACGGGGCUAAACCAUGCACCGAAGCUGCGGCAGCGACGCUUAUGCGUUGUUGGGUAGGGGAGCGUUCUGUAAGCCUGCGAAGGUGUGCUGUGAGGUAUGCUGGAGGUAUCAGAAGUGCGAAUGCUGACAUAAGUAACGAUAAAGCGGGUGAAAAGCCCGCUCGCCGGAAGACCAAGGGUUCCUGUCCAACGUUAAUCGGGGCAGGGUGAGUCGACCCCUAAGGCGAGGCCGAAAGGCGUAGUCGAUGGGAAACAGGUUAAUAUUCCUGUACUUGGUGUUACUGCGAAGGGGGGACGGAGAAGGCUAUGUUGGCCGGGCGACGGUUGUCCCGGUUUAAGCGUGUAGGCUGGUUUUCCAGGCAAAUCCGGAAAAUCAAGGCUGAGGCGUGAUGACGAGGCACUACGGUGCUGAAGCAACAAAUGCCCUGCUUCCAGGAAAAGCCUCUAAGCAUCAGGUAACAUCAAAUCGUACCCCAAACCGACACAGGUGGUCAGGUAGAGAAUACCAAGGCGCUUGAGAGAACUCGGGUGAAGGAACUAGGCAAAAUGGUGCCGUAACUUCGGGAGAAGGCACGCUGAUAUGUAGGUGAAGCGACUUGCUCGUGGAGCUGAAAUCAGUCGAAGAUACCAGCUGGCUGCAACUGUUUAUUAAAAACACAGCACUGUGCAAACACGAAAGUGGACGUAUACGGUGUGACGCCUGCCCGGUGCCGGAAGGUUAAUUGAUGGGGUUAGCGCAAGCGAAGCUCUUGAUCGAAGCCCCGGUAAACGGCGGCCGUAACUAUAACGGUCCUAAGGUAGCGAAAUUCCUUGUCGGGUAAGUUCCGACCUGCACGAAUGGCGUAAUGAUGGCCAGGCUGUCUCCACCCGAGACUCAGUGAAAUUGAACUCGCUGUGAAGAUGCAGUGUACCCGCGGCAAGACGGAAAGACCCCGUGAACCUUUACUAUAGCUUGACACUGAACAUUGAGCCUUGAUGUGUAGGAUAGGUGGGAGGCUUUGAAGUGUGGACGCCAGUCUGCAUGGAGCCGACCUUGAAAUACCACCCUUUAAUGUUUGAUGUUCUAACGUGGACCCGUGAUCCGGGUUGCGGACAGUGUCUGGUGGGUAGUUUGACUGGGGCGGUCUCCUCCUAAAGAGUAACGGAGGAGCACGAAGGUUGGCUAAUCCUGGUCGGACAUCAGGAGGUUAGUGCAAUGGCAUAAGCCAGCUUGACUGCGAGCGUGACGGCGCGAGCAGGUGCGAAAGCAGGUCAUAGUGAUCCGGUGGUUCUGAAUGGAAGGGCCAUCGCUCAACGGAUAAAAGGUACUCCGGGGAUAACAGGCUGAUACCGCCCAAGAGUUCAUAUCGACGGCGGUGUUUGGCACCUCGAUGUCGGCUCAUCACAUCCUGGGGCUGAAGUAGGUCCCAAGGGUAUGGCUGUUCGCCAUUUAAAGUGGUACGCGAGCUGGGUUUAGAACGUCGUGAGACAGUUCGGUCCCUAUCUGCCGUGGGCGCUGGAGAACUGAGGGGGGCUGCUCCUAGUACGAGAGGACCGGAGUGGACGCAUCACUGGUGUUCGGGUUGUCAUGCCAAUGGCACUGCCCGGUAGCUAAAUGCGGAAGAGAUAAGUGCUGAAAGCAUCUAAGCACGAAACUUGCCCCGAGAUGAGUUCUCCCUGACUCCUUGAGAGUCCUGAAGGAACGUUGAAGACGACGACGUUGAUAGGCCGGGUGUGUAAGCGCAGCGAUGCGUUGAGCUAACCGGUACUAAUGAACCGUGAGGCUUAACCUU